rnacentral:rRNA from 1 species
CUAGCUUGCUAGGUGGAUUAGUGGCGCACGGGUGAGUAACGCAUAGAUGACAUGCCCUUUAGUUUGGGAUAGCCACUAGAAAUGGUGAUUAAUACCAAAUACCACCCUACGGGGGAAAGAUUUAUCGCUAAAGGAUUGGUCUAUGUCCUAUCAGCUUGUUGGCGGGGUAAGAGCCCACCAAGGCUAUGACGGGUAUCCGGCCUGAGAGGGUGAACGGACACACUGGAACUGAGACACGGUCCAGACUCCUACGGGAGGCAGCAGUAGGGAAUAUUGCUCAAUGGGCGCAAGCCUGAAGCAGCAACGCCGCGUGGAGGAUGAAGGUUUUAGGAUUGUAAACUCCUUUUGUCAGAGAAGAUAAUGACGGUAUCUCACGAAUAAGCACAA